AGUGAACGCUGGCGGUAGGCCUAAUACAUGCAAGUCGAGCGGUAGCACAUUAUAAUCUUGCUCUUUCGAGUGGCGAGUGGCGGACGAGUGAGGAAUACAGCGGCAUCUACUUUUUCGUGGAGGAUAACGUAGGGAGACUGAUGCUAAUACAGAAUACGAUCUACGGGUGAAAGCAAGGGAGCUUGGGACCUUUGGCGAUUGAAUGGGUCGAUGUCGGAUUGAUUAGUUGGUGGGGUAAAGGCCCACCAAGGGGGCGAACCGUACCUGGUCUGAGAGGGUGAUCAGCCACACUGGAACUGGAACACGCUCCAGACUCCUACGGGAGGCACCAGUGGGGAAUAUUGGACAAUGGGGGCAAGCCUGAUCCAGCCAUCCCGCGUGGGUGAAGAAGGCCUUCGGGUUGUAAAGCCGUUUUGUUGGGAAAAAAAAGCAGCAGGUUAAAACGCCGCUGUACUGACGGUACCCACAGAAUAAGGACCGGCUAACUUCGUG
rnacentral:rRNA from 1 species